rnacentral:rRNA from 1 species
UACGGAGGAUCCGAGCGUUAUCCGGAUUUAUUGGGUUUAAAGGGUGCGUAGGUGGAUUGGUGAGUCAGUGGUGAAAUUUUGCAGCUUAACUGUAACAGUGCCGUUGAUACUGGGGAGCUAGGAUUUGGUUGCUGUGGGUGGAAUGUGUGGUGUAGCGGUGAAAUGCUUAGAGAUCACACAGAAUAUCGAUUGCGAAGGCAGCUCACAAAGCCAAGAUUGACGCUGAGGCACGAAAGUGUGGGGAUCAAACAGGA